rnacentral:rRNA from 1 species
AACGUAGGAGACAAACGUUAUCCGGAGUUACUGGGCGUAAAGGGCGUGUAGGUGGUUUCGUAAGUCUGGCGUGAAAUUUUUCGGCUUAACCGGGAAAGGUCGUCGGAUACUGCGGGACUAGAGGACGGUAGAGGCGUGUGGAAUUCCGGGUGUAGUGGUGAAAUGCGUAGAGAUCCGGAGGAACACCAGUGGCGAAGGCAGCCCCCUGGGCUGAGAUUGACGCUCAGGCACGAAAGCGUGGGGAGCAAACAGG